rnacentral:ncRNA from 1 species
GGCAGUGACACGGGGUGCCGCACGGCUGAGAACAGACCCGUCGAACCUGAUCUAGUUAGAACUAGCGAAGGGAUGUCGCAAUGCGCGAUC